CACGUAGGGCGCAAGCGUUGUCCGGAAUUAUUGGGCGUAAAGAGCUCGUAGGCGGUUUGUCGCGUCUGCUGUGAAAUCCCGAGGCUCAACCUCGGGCUUGCAGUGGGUACGGGCAGACUAGAGUGCGGUAGGGGAGACUGGAAUUCCUGGUGUAGCGGUGGAAUGCGCAGAUAUCAGGAGGAACACCGAUGGCGAAGGCAGGUCUCUGGGCCGCAACUGACGCUGAGGAGCGAAAGCAUGGGGAGCGAACAGG
rnacentral:rRNA from 1 species